rnacentral:rRNA from 1 species
UACAGAGGGGGCCAGCGUUAUUCGGAAUUAUUGGGCGUAAAGGGCGCGUAGGCGGCGCGGUAAGUCACUUGUAAAAUCUCUGAGCUUAACUCAGAACGGCCAAGUGAUACUGCAGUGCUAGAGUGCAGAAGGGGCAAUCGGAAUUCUUGGUGUAGCGGUGAAAUGCGCAGAUAUCAGGAGGAACACCGGUGGCGAAGGCGGUUCUCUGGGCAUUACCUGACGCUGAGGAGCGAAAGUGUGGGGAGCGAACAGG